CAGUCGCCGCGGGAAUACGAAGGGGGCUAGCGUUGUUCGGAAUUACUGGGCGUAAAGCGCACGUAGGCGGAUAUUUAAGUCAGGGGUGAAAUCCCGCAGCUCAACUGCGGAACUGCCUUUGAUACUGGGUAUCUUGAGUAUGGAAGAGGUUAGUGGAAUUGCGAGUGUAGAGGUGAAAUUCGUAGAUAUUCGCAGGAACACCAGUGGCGAAGGCGGCUAACUGGUCCAUAACUGACGCUGAGGUGCGAAAGCGUGGGGAGCAAACAGGAUUAGAUACCCGUGUAGUCCCUGUCUCUUAUAC
rnacentral:rRNA from 1 species